UCCUCCAGAAUUCCUUUCUUCUUCCUCUCUCUUCUCUAUCUAGCCGUUGCCCCUCCGCCGCCACCAGAAAUCGCACACCGGCAGCGAACCAUCUCCAAACACCUCCAAAUUUACACCAUGUAAUCUCCACAACCUCCUCUUUCCAUGGCUCCAAACCAAAUCCUUCAAAAACCCCUCAAAAUCCUUGAAUCUUAGAUCUAGAAAAUUUUAGCCGCCACUUUUUUCCCCCAAAUUCUUGAAGCUCCGGCCACUACCACCCCACAAUACCUACAUCAACUGAUAGAGCUCCUCAAGACCUACCUAUUUAUGUCAAUUUCACCCCGAAAAUUCGCCGACCAAAAAUCCUGCCAAAUUCUGGCGACCUCCCCGAAUGCCCACGUUCGGCAUACCACCAUUGUUUUGGCCACUUGAAUUGUGAAAUGGUAAUUUUCGGACCAUGUAAACUCCUAAAAUCGAGUUGGAAUGAAAGAUAAUGAUGCUAGAAAAUAUUAGCAGCUUUUGGAUAAUGUUAUGACUAUAUAUUAGAUAAUUAAACUGUGUCAAGCAUCUUUAUUUUUAUUUUUUUCUAAAGUGUUGGAUAUAAUUCCACUAGGCCCUCAGUUGCUUGGUUGUAUGAAAGGAGUAUAUAUUAAAAUUUGAACCCAUGUAGCUAUGUU